rnacentral:rRNA from 1 species
UACGGAGGGUGCGAGCGUUGUCCGGAAUCAUUGGGCGUAAAGGGCGCGUAGGUGGCCCGGUCAGUUCGUGGUGAAAGCGCGGGGCUCAACCCUGCGUCGGCCAUGAAUACUGCCGCGGCUGGAGCACUGUAGAGGCAGAUGGAAUUCCGGGUGUAGCGGUGGAAUGCGUAGAGAUCCGGAAGAACACCGGUGGCGAAGGCGGUCUGCUGGGCAGUAGCUGACACUGAGGCGCGACAGCGUGGGGAGCAAACAGG